GAUGAACGCUGGCGGCGUGCCUAAUACAUGCAAGUCGAACGAAACUUCUUUAUCACCGAGUGCUUGCACUCACCGAUAAAGAGUUGAGUGGCGAACGGGUGAGUAACACGUGGGCAACCUGCCCCAAAGAGGGGGAUAACACUUGGAAACAGGUGCUAAUACCGCAUAACCAUAGUUACUGCAUGGUAACUAUGUAAAAGGUGGCUAUACUACCGCUUUUGGAUGGGCCCGCGGCGCAUUAGCUAGUUGGUAGGGUAAAGGCUUACCAAGGCAAUGAUGCGUAGCCGAAUUGAGAGGUUGAUCGGCCACAUUGGGACUGAGACACGGCCCAAACUCCUACGGGAGGCAGCAGUAGGGAAUCUUCCACAAUGGGCGAAAGCCUGAUGGAGCAACGCCGCGUGGGUGAAGAAGGUCUUCGGAUCGUAAAACCCUGUUGUUAGAGAAGAAAGUGCGUGAGAGUAACUGUUCACGUUUCGACGGUAUCUAACCAGAAAGCCACGGCUAACUACGUG
rnacentral:rRNA from 1 species